CAGUAACGGCGAGUGAAGCGGCAACAGCUCAAAUUUGAAAUCUGGCCUCGGCCCGAGUUGUAAUUUGCAGAGGAUGUUUCUGGCGCGGUGCCUUCUGAGUUCCCUGGAACGGGACGCCAUAGAGGGUGAGAGCCCCGUACGGUUGGACGCCUAGCCUGUGUGAAACUCCUUCGACGAGUCGAGUAGUUUGGGAAUGCUGCUCAAAAUGGGAGGUAUAUCUCUUCUAAAGCUAAAUAUUGGCCAGAGACCGAUAGCGCACAAGUAGAGUGAUCGAAAGAUGAAAAGCACCUUGAAAAGGGGGUUAAACAGCACGUGAAAUUGUUGAAAGGGAAGCGCCCAUGACCAGACUUGUGCCCGGCGGAUCACCCAGCGUUCUCGCUGGGGCACUCCGCCGGGUCCAGGCCAGCAUCGGUUUUCGCCGGGGGAUAAAGGCUCUGGGAACGUAGCUCCUCCGGGAGUGUUAUAGCCCUCUGCGUAAUACCCUGGCGGGGACCGAGGUACGCGCUCCGCAAGGAUGCUGGCGUAAUGGUCAUCAGCGACCCGUCUUGAAACACGGAUCAAGGAGUCGUCCAUUAGAGCGAGCGUUUGGGUGUCAAACCCGCACGCGUAAUGAAAGUGAACGUAGGUGAGAGCUUCGGCGCAUCAUCGACCGAUCCUGAUGUCCUCGGAUGGAUUUGAGUAUGAGUUUUACUGGACGGACCCGAAAGAUGGUGAACUAUGCCUGUAUAGGGUGAAGCCAGAGGAAACUCUGGUGGAGGCUCGCAGCGGUUCUGACGUGCAAAUCGAUCGUCAAAUAUGGGCAUGGGGGCGAAAGACUAAUCGAACCAUCUAGUAGCU
rnacentral:rRNA from 1 species